rnacentral:rRNA from 1 species
GCGGCCGAUAUCAGAUUAGCUAGUUGGUGGGGUAAAAGCCCACCAAGGCGACGAUCUGUAGCUGGUCUGAGAGGACGACCAGCCACACUGGAACUGAGACACGGUCCAGACUCCUACGGGAGGCAGCAGUGGGGAAUUUUGGACAAUGGGCGCAAGCCUGAUCCAGCAAUGCCGCGUGCAGGAUGAAGGCCUUCGGGUUGUAAACUGCUUUUGUACGGAACGAAACGGCUCCUUUUAAUACAAGGGGCUAAUGACGGUACCGUAAGAAUAAGCACCGGCUAACUACGUGCCAGCAGCCGCGGUAAUACGUAGGGUGCGAGCGUUAAUCGGAAUUACUGGGCGUAAAGCGUGCGCAGGCGGUUAUAUAAGACAGAUGUGAAAUCCCCGGGCUCAACCUGGGACCUGCAUUUGUGACUGUAUAGCUAGAGUACGGUAGAGGGGGAUGGAAUUCCGCGUGUAGCAGUGAAAUGCGUAGAUAUGCGGAGGAACACCGAUGGCGAAGGCAAUCCC